rnacentral:rRNA from 1 species
GAUGAACGCUGGCGGCGUGCUUAACACAUGCAAGUCGAACGGAAAGGCCCAAGCUUGCUUGGGUACUCGAGUGGCGAACGGGUGAGUAACACGUGGGUGAUCUGCCCUGCACUUCGGGAUAAGCCUGGGAAACUGGGUCUAAUACCGGAUAGGACCACAUUUUGGUUGGUGUGGUGGAAAGUUUUUCGGUGUGGGAUGAGCUCGCGGCCUAUCAGCUUGUUGGUGGGGUAAUGGCCUACCAAGGCGUCGACGGGUAGCCGGCCUGAGAGGGUGUACGGCCACAUUGGGACUGAGAGACGGCCCAGACUCCUACGGGAGGCAGCAGUGGGGAAUAUUGCACAAUGGGCGCAAGCCUGAUGCAGCGACGCCGCGUGGGGGAUGACGGCCUUCGGGUUGUAAACUCCUUUCGCUAGGGACGAAGCGUUAUGUGACGGUACCUGGAGAAGAAGCACCGGCUAACUACGUG